AACAGGGAUUGCCCUAGUAACGGCGAGUGAAGCGGCAACAGCUCAAAUUUGAAAUCUGGCGCCUGCGCCCGAGUUGUAAUUUGCAGAGGAUGCUUCCGGCAAAGCGCCUACCAAGUUCCCUGGAACGGGACGCCACAGCAGGUGAGAGCCCUGUACGGUUGGUCGCCGCGCCGUUGUGAAGCGCCUUCGACGAGUCGAGUAGUUUGGGAAUGCUGCUCUAAAUGGGAGGUAAACUCCUUCUAAAGCUAAAUACUGGCCAGAGACCGAUAGCGCACAAGUAGAGUGAUCGAAAGAUGAAAAGCACUUUGAAAAGAGAGUCAAACAGCACGUGAAAUUGUUGAAAGGGAAGCGCUCGUGACCAGACUUGGGCCUGGUAGUUCAGCCGUCCUUUUGGGCGGUGCAUUCUGCCGGUUCAGGCCAGCAUCAGUUGCUGGUCGGGGAGAAAGAUGGCGGGAACGUGGCUCUUCGGAGUGUUAUAGCCCGCCAUUAUGCCCUUCCGGCGACUGAGGUUAGCGUUCGCACGGAUGCUGGCAUAAUGGUCAUCAGCGACCCGUCUUGAAACACGGACCAAGGAGUCAUCGUAAUAUGCGAGUGUUUGGGCGUCAAACCCCUACGCGAAAUGAAAGUGAACGGAGGUGAGAGCUUCGGCGCAUCAUCGACCGAUCCUGAUGUUCUCGGAUGGAUUUGAGUAAGAGCAUAUUGCGCUGGACCCGAAAGAAGGUGAACUAUGCUUGGAUAGGGCAAAGCCAGAGGAAACUCUGGUGGAGGCUCGCAGCGGUUCUGACGUGCAAAUCGAUCGUCAAAUCUGAGCAUGGGGGCGAAAGACUAAUCGAACCUUCUAGUAGCUGGUUUCCGCCGAAGUUUCCCUCAGGAUAGCAGUGCUGAUCUCAGUUUUAUGAGGUAAAGCGAAUGGAUUAGGGACUC
rnacentral:rRNA from 1 species